CCUACGGGGCGCAGCAGUGAGGAAUAUUGGUCAAUGGGCGCGAGCCUGAACCAGCCAAGUCGCGUGAGGGAAGACGGUCCUAUGGAUUGUAAACCUCUUUUGUCGGGGAGCAAAAGACGCCACGUGUGGCGUUCCGAGAGUACCCGAAGAAAAAGCAUCGGCUAACUCCGUGCCAGCAGCCGCGGUAAUACGGAGGAUGCGAGCGUUAUCCGGAUUUAUUGGGUUUAAAGGGUGCGUAGGCGGGCUGUUAAGUCAGCGGUCAAAUGUCGGGGCUCAACCCCGGCCUGCCGUUGAAACUGGCGGCC
rnacentral:rRNA from 1 species